rnacentral:rRNA from 1 species
CCCAUGCCGAACUCAGAAGUGAAACGCCGUAGCGCCGAUGGUAGUGUGGGGUCUCCCCAUGCGAGAGUAGGGAACUGCCA